ensembl:lncRNA
AAGAUUAGCCCUGAAGCUAUCUACUGCCAGUCCUCCUCUUUUUUGCUGAGGAAGCCUGGCCCUGAGCUAACAUCCGUGCCCAUCUUCCUCUACUUUCUAUGUGGGAUGCCUACCACAGCAUGGUGUUCCAAGCGAUGCCAUGUCCACACCCGGGAUCCAAACCAGCGAACCUCGGGCAGCUGAGAAGCGAACGUGCGAACUUAACCGCUGCGCCGCCGGGCCAGCCCCAAUAAUCUGCAUUUCUAAUAGGUCCCCAGGUGAGGCUGCUGGUCCGCUGACAACACUUUGAGAACCGCGGCCUUAGAGAGAAGAACAUCUUCCAGAAACAGGUCUGGAUCUCAAGGGUUCUACCAAUAAACUUCUCGCACACAAAUUUCCGUGUUUCCAGAGAAUGCUUCUUGAAGAACUCAACCUAAGACAAAAGGAGUAUGGACUGACCACAUUUAUUAACUUUAUUUUACUUUUUUUGAGACAGUGCUUUAGAGUGGAAAUUGUGUAUGCUUUAUAGUCAGAGAGAUUGGAGCUUAUCAGGUAUCAUCUGGGAGAAAUUACUACUUAAUCUCUCCAAGCCUGUUUUGUCAUCUCUUAAGAGCGAUCUUGCUAGGAUGAAAGACAGUCCACAUAAAGCAACUACCACAGCAUUUGACAAAAUACAGAUGCUCAGAACAUGGAGGCCUCUAAGUGGGUAAAGCGGAAUCACUAGAAGGCUAAGGAUCUACAGCACUUCAUCGCUACUCCUCCCAGAUGUGUUUCUUUUCAUUAUGUUGUAAUACUAUGGCUUGAUUUGUAUUGAAGGUCCCUACUUUAAAAAAGCCACAUGGAUUCCAAGUUACUCAGUGCUCCAGCGGUGAGAGAUUUUCCUCCAAGUUUGAGAGUAGGGAAAAUUUUUCCAGCAUGAGAGACUGGGAUAUACAAAUCUUCACCACAUACAACGACAGUUAUGUAACGUCACCUGACUCCUGCUUCUCAGUGGCUUCCAAGGCAGAGAGCCUGGCUCUGUGUUCAGUCACGGCAACGGAGUUGACCCACUCUUUUGACAGGUCUGCUGUCCUCCCCCAAUCCAAUUUUCUCCUUUUAUGAUCUGAUUUUAUUGUUAUGGCCUGGGCAUUUUAUUAUAAACCACUCUUUUAGAAAAUGUUAGGCUAAACAAGAAUCGAUCUCCAAGAUUCUGAACUCUUGAAUUCUCUCCCUGGCCAAAAUCUCCUGAUCUCUAAUCCUUCCCAUAAUUUCUCUCACCAUAAAUCUGAUCUUCAGUUUUAUGACCUUCAAAUUUCAAUCUCUCCUAAUAGUCCGUGUCCAUAACUCACCUUCAUGUUUCCUUUCUAAACGUUUGCAGUUUGAACCCUAUCUUCAGCUGUCACACCAUGAGUUGACCACCAACACUAAAUACCAGUUGCUGUAACCGAAAGUUCGGUCUCUGAACCCGAUGCCAAUCCAAAUAACGAGAAUAGAGUCUUGAGUGGAAGAGGAAAGGUUUUUACCAUGCCAGGCACAGGGAGCAAAGCAAGGGCUCAUGCCUCAAAAAUUGCUAGCUCCCUGAUGAGGAAUGGGUAGGGAUUUUUAUUUGGGAAGCCUCCACUCCUUGAUAUUCCUGAGACAGUGGCUUUCCUGGCAAACUUCAAGGACAUAUGAUUAGCUAAACUUUAGUGUGCCUCCAACUCCAGGCCACCUGGGCUUUUAACAAUUUGUAACUCCCAUUUAGUUGUAAAGCUCAAGGAGUCCAAGUUUAAAGAAACAGGUAUUUACAUAUGAGUGGAGUUAGAGAAGCAGGAAAGCGGGAGGUGGGUUUUAGUUUUAACCCCAUAUACGCUGGGUUCAGUGUGGGGGAACUGAUAUCAGGGCUGAUGUUAAGAGCCUGUAACAUUACCAUAUAUUUAGUACUUACUAUGUAAUGGAAUUAUGUUAAAUGAUUUACAACAGGGGUUUACAAAGUGUGGUUCUCCAGACCAGCAGCAUCAACUUUGCUGGGAAACUUAUGAGAAACUCCAUUUCUGAGACCCAUCCAAGAUAUUGUAAAUCAGUAACUCUAGGGGGGUGGGGCCCACCAAUCUGUGUUUUCACAAGUGCCCCAGGUGAUUCUGAUGAAUGUUCUAGUUUGAAAACCACUGCUUUACCAAUAUUAUCUUAUUUUAUCAUAAAAGCCUAAGACUUAAGGGUAAAUAGUCUUAUCCCAGCUUUAUAGAUGAGGAAAUUAAGGCUCAGAUGUUCAGUAAAUUGUGCAAGGUCUCACAGAUUGCAAAUGGCAACGUGGCAAACCAACCCCAGGUCUGAAAGAU